rnacentral:misc_RNA from 1 species
GAUGAAGAACGUAGUGAAAUGCGAUAAGUAAUGUGAAUUGCAGAAUUCAGUGAAUCAUCGAAUCUUUGAACGCACAUUGCGCCCGCCAGUAUUCUGGCGGGCAUGCCUGUCCGAGCGUCAUUUCAACCCUCGAACCCCUCCGGGGGGUCGGCGUUGGGGAUCGGCCCUUUACGGGGCCGGCCCCGAAAUACAGUGGCGGUCUCGCCGCAGCCUCUCCUGCGCAGUAGUUUGCACACUCGCAUCGGGAGCGCGGCGCGUCCAAUGCCGUAAAACACCCAACUUUCUGAAAUGUUGACCUCGGAUCAGGUAGGAAUACCCGCUGAACUUAAGCAUAUCAAUAAGCGGAGGA